CCAAUAGCGUAUAUUAAAGUUGUUGCAGUUAAAAAGCUCGUAGUUGAAUUUCGAGAUCGGUUUAUUGGUCGUGCUAUUGUACGUACUGGUAUUACCGGUUUCUCCUUUCUGACGAACCUUAAUGCCAUUAAUUUGGUGUUUUGGGAAAUCAGGACUGUUACUUUGAAAAAAUUAGAGUGUUUAAAGCAGGCUCACGCUUGAAUACAUUAGCAUGGAAUAACGGAAUAGGACGUUUGAUUCUAUUUUGUUGGUUUCUAGGAUCGACGUAAUGAUUAAUAGGGAUAGUUGGGGGCAUUAGUAUUCAAUUGUCAGAGGUGAAAUUCUUGGAUUUAUUGAAGACUAACUACUGCGAAAGCAUUUGCCAAGGAUGUUUUCAUUAAUCAAGAACGAAAGUUAGGGGAUCGAAGACGAUCAGAUACCGUCGUAGUCUUAACCAUAAACUAUGCCGACUAGGGAUCGGAUGAUGUUAAUUUUUUUAAUGACUCAUUCGGCGCCUUACG
rnacentral:rRNA from 1 species